rnacentral:rRNA from 1 species
AUUGAACGCUGGCGGCAUGCUUUACACAUGCAAGUCGAACGGUAACAGGGUGCUUGCACCGCUGACGAGUGGCGAACGGGUGAGUAAUGCGUCGGAACGUGCCGAGUAGUGGGGGAUAACGCAGCGAAAGUUGUGCUAAUACCGCAUACGUACUGAGGUAGAAAGUGGGGGACCUUCGGGCCUCACGCUAUUCGAGCGGCCGACGUCUGAUUAGCUAGUAGGUGAGGUAAAGGCUCACCUAGGCGACGAUCAGUAGCGGGUCUGAGAGGAUGAUCAGCCACACUGGGACUGAGACACGGCCCAGACUCCUACGGGAGGCGGCAGUAGGGAAUUUUGGACAAUGGGCGAAAGCCUGAUCCAGCCAUGCCGCGUGUCUGAAGAAGGCCUUCGGGUUGUAAAGGACUUUUGUCAGGGAGGAAAUCCCUAGUGCUAAUAACACUGGAGGAUGACAGUACCUGAAGAAUAAGCACCGGCUAACUACGUGCCAGCAGCCGCGGUAA